rnacentral:rRNA from 1 species
AUUGAACGCUGGCGGCAGGCCUAACACAUGCAAGUCGAACGAGUGGCGGACGGGUGAGUAAUGUAUGGGAAACUGCCUGAUGGAGGGGGAUAACUACUGGAAACGGUAGCUAAUACCGCAUACCAUCGGAUGUGCCCAGAUGGGAUUAGCUAGUAGGUGGGGUAAAGGCUCACCUAGGCGACGAUCCCUAGCUGGUCUGAGAGGAUGACCAGCAGCACUGGCACUGUGACACGGUCAAGACUCCUACGGGAGGAAGCAGUGGAGAAUAUUGCGCGAUGGGCGCAAGCCUGAUGCACCCAUGCCGCGUGUAUGAAGAAGGCCUUAGGGUUUUAAAGUACUUUCAGCGGGGAGGCGUUACCCGCAGAAGAAGCACCGGCUAACUCCGUGCCAGCAGCCGCGGUAAUUC